AUAAUUUCUCAAUAUUGGGCCUUAUUGGGUAUUUGCUUGGGCUAUAUUUUUUUAACUGAAGCCCAUAACACAUUUAGGACUUGUUGCAGUAAUUAUUUUUGCUAGCAGUAACGUGUAUCCUUCUUUUGCCAUAACUUUUGAAUUUAUUUUCAGCCAUUCAUUUUAUUUCUAAAAUCUUGACAAACAUUACAGCUAGCCAAAUUUGAUUUCUUUCUGUAAGAUUUGAUUUUUUUUCCACAGCAGCAAACUUUGAAGCAGCAAACUUUGAUUGAUCUCCUUCACACGUUCAUGUUCAAAUCUUUGACGAACAAGUCAAUUCAAUCUAUUUAAACCUCAUUGUAUCAUCCUCAAAUUCACAAAUCAACAAAACAAAUUCAGUCUUUUAAGAUUCAUCCUGUUUCCUUCCCACUGCCGAAUCUCCAUCGGUGCGGCGCGACUAGGAUGUGAACUUUAAAUUCUUGCAGUUAAUUUUCAAAGCUCAAAAGUUCAAGUUUCAGGUGUGGGAUUUAUUUCAGUACAUGCACGUGGUUAAUAUUUGUCCAUUUUAAUAUUAUGUGUUUACCGUAUGUGUUGUAAAAAUAUUUAUCGCUAGGGGCCAGCAUAAUUGGUCCAGGACUUCACCGUCCUUGGUAUGCCACAAUGCGAUUUCAUGUUACAGGGUUGCAACCAUUAUAUUGUCGCCAGGGGCCCACAUAUAGGGUCCGGGACAUUAAAGUCCUUGGAUUGCCACAGUGCGUAUGGAAGUUAUGUUACGUUAUGACAAUAUGUGUUACCAUUUUAUUAACAUGGACAAUUAUUGCAUGUUCCCACACUGAGUGUACCCUGUAUGCUCAUCCCAUAUUCAACAGUUUCAGGUGAUUGAUAUCGGAGGCGCGUGGAGAGUCGAAUGGGCGCGUCGAAUCUAUUUAAAGAUAAAUGUUUCCUAAAACAUAUUAUGUUAUUUCAUGUGAUAUCUCUUGAUUAUGUAAACUCUGAAAUUCUAUACUAUUUGAGAUUUGUGUGUGAUUUGUUUAAAUAAAUGUUAUCAUAUUAUU